rnacentral:rRNA from 1 species
CCCUACGGGGCGCAGCAGUGAGGAAUAUUGGUCAAUGGUCGGGAGACUGAACCAGCCAAGCCGCGUGAGGGAUGAAGGUACAGAGUAUCGUAAACCUCUUUUGUCAGGGAACAAAGGCGGGGACGUGUCCCCGGAUGAGUGUACCUGAAGAAAAAGCAUCGGCUAACUCCGUGCCAGCAGCCGCGGUAAUACGGAGGAUGCGAGCGUUAUCCGGAUUUAUUGGGUUUAAAGGGUGCGCAGGCGGUCUGUUAAGUCAGCGGUCGAAGCCCGGGGCUCAACCCUGGCCCGCCGUUGAAACUGGCAGU